rnacentral:rRNA from 1 species
AUUGAACGCUGGCGGCAGGCCUAACACAUGCGAGUCGAGCGGAUGAAGGGAGCUUGCUCCUGGAUUCAGCGGCGGACGGGUGAGUAAUGCCUAGGAAUCUGCCUGGUAGUGGGGGAUAACGUCCGGAAACGGGCGCUAAUACCGCAUACGUCCUGAGGGAGAAAGUGGGGGAUCUUCGGACCUCACGCUAUCAGAUGAGCCUAGGUCGGAUUAGCUAGUUGGUGGGGUAAAGGCCUACCAAGGCGACGAUCCGUAACUGGUCUGAGAGGAUGAUCAGUCACACUGGAACUGAGACACGGUCCAGACUCCUACGGGAGGCAGCAGUGGUGAAUAUUGGACAAUGGGCGAAAGCCUGAUCCAGCCAUGCCGCGUGUGUGAAGAAGGUCUUCGGAUUGUAAAGCACUUUAAGUUGGGAGGAAGGGCAGUAAGUUAAUACCUUGCUGUUUUGACGUUACCAACAGAAUAAGCACCGGCUAACUUCGUG